rnacentral:lncRNA from 1 species
AAUCAGUUCACCAUAUAUAUAAGAGUGUAUUUCUGGACUCUCAGUUCUAUUCUGUUGAUCUCUGUGUCUGUGUUUUGUUUGUUUGUUUGUUUGUUUUUUAAGAGGUGGAGUCUCGCUCUGUUGCCCAGGCUGGAGUGUAGUGGCGUGAUCUCGGCUCACUGCAACCUCCGCCUCCCGGGUUCACGCCAUUCUCCUGCCUCAGCCUCCCGAGUAGCUGGGAUUACGGGCGCCCGCCACCACGCCGGGCUAAUUUUUUGUAUUUUUUAGUGGAGACGGGGUUUCAACAUGUUAGCCAGGAUGGUCUCGAUCUCCUGACCUUGUGAUCCGCCCGCCUCGGCCUCCCAAAGUGCUGGGAUUACAAGCGUGAGCCACCGCGC